AGUGAACGCUGGCGGUAGGCCUAACACAUGCAAGUCGAAUGGCAGCACAGUAAGAGCUUGCUCUUACGGGUGGCGAGUGGCGGACGGGUGAGGAAUACAUCGGAAUCUACUUUUUCGUGGGGGAUAACGUAGGGAAACUUACGCUAAUACCGCAUACGACCUACGGGUGAAAGCAGGGGAUCUUCGGACCUUGCGCGAUUGAAUGAGCCGAUGUCGGAUUAGCUAGUUGGCGGGGUAAAGGCCCACCAAGGCGACGAUCCGUAGCUGGUCUGAGAGGAUGAUCAGCCACACUGGAACUGAGACACGGUCCAGACUCCUACGGGAGGCAGCAGUGGGGAAUAUUGGACAAUGGACGCAAGCCUGAUCCAGCCAUACCGCGUGGGUGAAGAAGGCCUUCGGGUUGUAAAGCCCUUUUGUUGGGAAAGAAAAGCAGCAGGUUAAUACCCCGCUGUUCUGACGGUACCCAAAGAAUAAGCACCGGCUAACUUCGUG
rnacentral:rRNA from 1 species